rnacentral:rRNA from 1 species
CUCCUAAAAGGUAACGGAGGCGCUCAAAGGUUCCCUCAGAAUGGUUGGAAAUCAUUCAUAGAGUGUAAAGGCAUAAGGGAGCUUGACUGCGAGACCUACAAGUCGAGCAGGGUCGAAAGACGGACUUAGUGAUCCGGUGGUUCCGCAUGGAAGGGCCAUCGCUCAACGGAUAAAAGCUACCCCGGGGAUAACAGGCUUAUCUCCCCCAAGAGUUCACAUCGACGGGGAGGUUUGGCACCUCGAUGUCGGCUCAUCGCAUCCUGGGGCUGUAGUCGGUCCCAAGGGUUGGGCUGUUCGCCCAUUAAAGCGGUACGCGAGCUGGGUUCAGAACGUCGUGAGACAGUUCGGUCCCUAUCCGUCGUGGGCGUAGGAAAUUUGAGAGGAGCUGUCCUUAGUACGAGAGGACCGGGAUGGACAUACCUCUGGUGUACCAGUUGUCGUGCCAACGGCAUAGCUGGGUAGCUAUGUGUGGACGGGAUAAGUGCUGAAAGCAUCUAAGCAUGAAGCCCCCCUCAAGAUGAGAUUUCCCAACUUCGGUUAUAAGAUCCCUCAAAGAUGAUGAGGUUAAUAGGUUCGAGGUGGAAGCAUGGUGACAUGUGGAGCUGACGAAUACUAAUCGAUCGAAGACUUAAUCAAAUU